UUCAGUAAAGUUUGUUUCUUCUAAACAGUGUUUGGAGUUCAUUUCAACACUUGCAAAUAUUACACAAGCUUUGCUUGGAAGAAGAGAAUAAUCAGGAACUUUAUCUCUGUGAACUGUUCCAGGUGCUUUUUCUCUUCCAUCACACAGGGUGAGAGAAACUAAUGAGUCUCAGGAAAUUUGGAAUAUGUUUGAAAAGAAUAAGGAUAGAUGUCCUGCCCAUAAUGGAGACUGCUUCAGCUCUCUUCUGGACGUGUGCAGCAAUAUCCUUUCUCUAUAAUCCUGAACAGAACAUCCACAUGUGCAUUACAGCAGGAUUUGAAGGAGAACCUGCAAAGUUGAAAAAAAGGGAGAAAACAAACCCUCCGUGUCAGGAAGAUUUUCACCAACCCUCCAUGACAGGAAGAUUUUCACCAGCCUUCUGUAUCAGGAUGAUUUUCACCCAAUCUCAUGAAUUCCAUGACCCUCCACCUGUUUUUAAAAAAACAAACAAAAAACAAAAUGGAACUUUGGAGGCGGCAGUCUGGCUUGGAAGAUUCACAUGCUGGGAGGAGUGAUUUAAGCUUUUACCCUCCAGCAAUUUUUCUUUUGGGAAUUAACCUCCCCCAGCUCCUUUGUCCCUCAUGGGGGAAAGAAUAUGGGAUCCAUCCACUACAUUUCAGCUAAUGUUCAAGGUCAGUACCUGGCAGCAGAAAUGCCUAGUAUGAUGGGACAGAGCCUUGGAGCUGCCCUCCCAACAUUGGCAUCACUAAAGCUCACAUGGAUGAGGUUGGGGUGGGUGGGGGUGAGAUCGUGGCUGCACAGUCAUACCAGUGGAGUCAACCCACUGGGUCUGCAGCUGCACAACCUCAGCCUAGCUGCUGCCUAAUUUCCCUGCCCCAUCCUCAUCCCCAUCCCCAUAAACUGUAGUGGCUGUAGUAUUAGGAGGGCAACUCCAUGACUCUGCCCCAGCACGCUACCUGCAAUUACCUGGCACCUUACACCAGCUGUGUGGGACCCAGGGACAUGGCAAGGCCCACUGCUGUGCCAUGCUCUCCUCAUGCCAUGCUAUCUGGCUACAAGCCUCCAUUUUAAACUUUCCACAAUUCUCCAGAGUGUGUCUGAGGCAUUGUGGGAAACAUAACAUGCUGGCUUGUGGUCACCUGCUGCCUGCUGCUGAUAAAUCCACAGACUCCUUUUGGGAGAAAGGCAGGCUACAAAUUUAACAAUAAAUAAAAUAAAAUAGUCUGUGUGUUUGUGUGUGAGUGAGUGAAUGAGAGAGAAACUGAUGGAGGAGGUGAUCCACAGAAGGCACUUUUACAAGCAUGAUGUGAUAGGAGGUGAUAAUACUGACCUGUUGUUGUAAGGAUGAUUGAAGUAUGUGAAGCCCUUUGAAACCUCUAUUAUGCAUUAUAUAUGUCAUGUCAUGUCGUUUAUUGAUUUAUUUAAUAUGCCACCCUUCCUCCUACUAGGAGCCCAGGGCAGCAAACAAAAACAUUAAAAACACUCUAAAACAUCUUGAAAACAGAACUUUAAAAUAUAUUAAAACAAAACAUCUUUUAAAACAUAUUUUUAAAAAAACAUUAAAAACACCUUAAAAAGCAAUUCCGACACAGACUGGGACAAGGUCUCUACUUAAAAGUCUUGUUGAAAGAGGAAGGUCUUCAGUAGGAACUGAAAAGAUAACAGAGAUGGUGCCUGUCUUAUAUUAAAGGGGAAGGAAUUCCAAAGGAUACAUGCCACAACACUAAAAGUUCGCUUCCUGUGCGGAACAGACCCCCAGAUAAGAUGGUAUCUUCAGGAGGCCCACACCUGCAGAGCAUAGUGAUCGAAUGGGUAUAUAAGGGGUAAGAUGACCUUUCAUGUAUCCUGGUCACAAGCCGUAUAGGGUUUUGUACACCAAAACCAGAACCUUGAACUUGGCCUAGUAGCUAAUGGAUACACAUAAUUAAGUAGUAUUAUGGAUUCCAGUGCAACUUAACCUAAUAAUAUUUAUGGAUUUAAAUGAUCUGGGGGCAUACAGCUCUUUUUCACCACUGCAACUAAAUUGAAAGAACUAUAUUCAUUAAAUAUGUAUAUCUUCCACUUGUCUGUCUGCUUCUGGAUCUUAAAAUAUAAUAUAAAAUCAGGCAACUCCCAAAGACUUGGUGAAAUAGGAGGUUUUUCACCUGAUUUCUAAAGUCUGAAAGGAUCCAGCAUUUCACAAAAGGGGUGCCAUAAUUGAAGAGACCUUGCUCCUUGAGAAUGCCAUCCUUCCUUCAGCCAGAGAUGGCACUUGGAGCAAGGCCACAGCAGUGUAAAAAGGUGGGGUUAAAUGGCAAUGGAAUUCAAAACAGAGAGUAUAUGCAAAAUAGUAUGCUAAUUUAGGAGGACCAAAUAAUUAUGAAAGUCAGGCCUCCCUACUUCCUCAUUGAGCCUGAACCUCAGCCGGGCAACUGCUUGAGUUGGAAUAGAAUUCUAGUAGAACUUAUGGAUAUUUGGCAAAAGUCUAGAAAGGAAAUUGGGAGCCUCUCUGGUGCUGAGCAUUAUUAGACUUUCACUGAGACCUAGCAUGCUAAUGUACUAUGCUUUAUUUUCAGUUAAAAAUGUCCAUGAUAUAAAUAAAUAAAUAUAAAUAAACACCAUUAAAGAAUCUGCAGGUAUUCACCACUUUUUAGCCCAAACAAAGCCCUUCCCUCUUCUGUAUGGGUGGCAGAAGCACUUGUGCAACUGGCUUUGGAAGGUCCUGGCUAAGAUAUGUCAUGAGGAGUUGUUAUGAGGUGUCAAAUAUUGGGAAUUUUUAAUCUUUGAUUCAUCUCAGUGAACCAGAGUUUGAAAAGGCCUGCAACAGCAAAGAUUCCUGGGAAACAGCCCCUCUGUGACCUCUGAGUACAUAUCUUGCAAUGCCUGAAGGUAUAGACUUCCUGACUCAUGGAAAUUUGGGAUUUGUCACCCAGUAAGAAUAGGUGCUCCUUUCAAACAAAGGAAAUGUUUAUGACAAUCUAGGCCAUCACGAGGAAACAGAAUAGCUCCUUUCAAACUAGGAGGUGUUGUGCAUUUCUAAGCCUCUGGAGAAGACAGGAUAAACUCCUGUCAAACAGAGAAACUGUUUUACACAAGGAUUAUGAUAAUCUUAACCUUGAGGAAUCAUCAGGAAUCUACAGCAGGAGAUCACAGCUAUUAUCUGGGAACUGAUCAGGAAAUGAGUGGGCUCCCACCUUCCUGAUCACAUUUACUUUGGGUUUACUUUGGGGUCAGUUUUAAUUAAGAAAAAAAGGAAAAGGUAUAAAACAUGAGGAGUGAGAAGGGGAGUUCAGUUCAUCUUCUAGGGGGCUGCAACAACUGCUUUUCUUAUCAACGCACACUAGCAUCUUUGGGACAAUUUCAGAGCUAUGGAUUUGGGUGAGAACUUUCAGAUCUGGUGCUGGUUACAAAGGGUGGAGCUUUUGCUCAUUGGGCUAGAUAUGAAAGUCUCUCUCUCUCAGCUUUAGGCUUGCAGCAACUCUCCAGGAAAGGUAUAUGCAACUAUCUGGGCCUUUUUCUUUCCUUUUUUCUUUCUUUCUGUGUGGGUGAGCUUAAUGUGAACAUGUUUAUAGGGCUAGUCUCUUUGCUUUAGUCUAUCCAGUGUUGCUGAAUGAAUGAAUGAAUGAAUAAUAGUUAG